rnacentral:rRNA from 1 species
CCUACGGGAGGCUGCAGUGGGGAAUAUUGGACAAUGGGGGCAACCCUGAUCCAGCCAUGCCGCGUGUGUGAAGAAGGCCCUCGGGUUGUAAAGCACUUUCAGUGAGGAAGAACGCCUGGUGGUUAAUACCCAUCAGGAAAGACAUCACUCACAGAAGAAGCACCGGCUAACUCCGUGCCAGCAGCCGCGGUAAUACGGAGGGUGCGAGCGUUAAUCGGAAUUACUGGGCGUAAAGCGCGCGUAGGUGGCUUGAUAAGCCGGUUGUGAAAGCCCCGGGCUCAACCUGGGAACGGCAUCCGGAACUGUCAAGCUUGAGUGCAGGAGAGGAAGGUAGAAUUCCCGGUGUAGCGGUGAAAUGCGUAGAGAUCGGGAGGAAUACCAGUGGCGAAGGCGGCCUUCUGGACUGACACUGACACUGAGGUGCGAAAGCGUGGGUAGCAAACAGGAUUAGAUACCCUAGUAGUC